AUACUAAUUGCUCGUGCGGCUUGACCCUAUAACUUUGAUAGCCAACACGCAACCAGCGUGAAGCUCAAAGUCUGUUAUGCCAAGUUAGACGCAGUCAAAACACAAACAUCUGAUUCCAGACUCUAUGAAUUCGCCAGGCAGUUCACAAAAACUGCCCAGCACCAAGUUAUGCCUGAUGACCAUAGCAAGUUGGUCCCACUCCUUCCCAUCCCGAACAGGACAGUGAAACGACUUUGCGCCGAUGAUAGUGCGGGUUCCCGUGUGAAAGUAGGUCAUCGUCAGGC
rnacentral:rRNA from 1 species